AAAUAUUUAAUUUCAUGCACUCGUAUAAUAUUGGAAAUAUGGUCCAAAAGUUUCUACCGAACUGCCGUAAAAAGUUUGACUACGAGGAAUGAAUAAAAAGGG
rnacentral:ncRNA from 2 species